AACGAACGCUGGCGGCAUGCCUAACACAUGCAAGUCGAACGAGACCUUCGGGUCUAGUGGCGCACGGGUGCGUAACGCGUGGGAAUCUGCCCUUGGGUUCGGAAUAACAGCGAGAAAUUGCUGCUAAUACCGGAUGAUGACGUAAGUCCAAAGAUUUAUCGCCCAAGGAUGAGCCCGCGUAGGAUUAGCUAGUUGGUGAGGUAAAGGCUCACCAAGGCGACGAUCCUUAGCUGGUCUGAGAGGAUGAUCAGCCACACUGGGACUGAGACACGGCCCAGACUCCUACGGGAGGCAGCAGUGGGGAAUAUUGGACAAUGGGCGAAAGCCUGAUCCAGCAAUGCCGCGUGAGUGAUGAAGGCCUUAGGGUUGUAAAGCUCUUUUACCCGGGAUGAUAAUGACAGUACCGGGAGGAUAAGCUCCGGCUAACUCCGUGCCAGCAGCCGCGGUAAU
rnacentral:rRNA from 1 species